rnacentral:rRNA from 1 species
GACGAACGCUGGCGGCGUGCUUAAUACAUGCCAGUCGAACGGAAAGGCCCUGCUUUUGUCGGGUGCUCGAGUGGCGAACGGGUGGGUAACAAGUGAGUAACCUGCCCUUGACUUUGGGAUAACUUCAGGAAACUGGGGCUAAUACCGGAUCGGAGCUCCUGCUGCAUGGUGGGGGUUGGAAAGUUUCGGCGGUUGGGGAUGGACGCGCGGCUUAUCAGCUCGUUGGUGGGGGAGUGGCUUACCAAGGCUUUGACGGGUAGCCGGCCUGAGAGGGUGACCGGCCACAUGGGGACUGAGAUACGGCCCAGACGCCUACGGGAGGCAGCAGUGGGGAAUAUUGCACAAUGGGCGGAAGCCUGAUGCAGCAACGCCGCGGGCGUGAUGACGGCCUUCGGGUUAUAAACCGCUUUCGCCUGUGACGAAGCGUGAGUGACGGUAAUGGGUAAAGAAGCACCGGCUAACUACGUG